rnacentral:lncRNA from 1 species
UCUUCUUUCCUACCCAACAUCACUCACCAUCUCUGUCAUCCUAAACCUCCCAAUCAUUGCCCUAACAGUCAUGGUUGUGCUGCUCGGUCGCCUUAGAAAAUUAUACGACAACAACCUUCCCUACCCCACAUCUACACCAAAGUCAAGUUGAACCCUUCUCGGGUUUAUUCACCUUCUUCCCUACCCAACAUCACUCACCAUCUCUGUCAUCCUAAACCUCCCAAUUGUUGCCCUAACAGUCAUGGUUGUGCUGCUCGGUCGCCUUAGAAAAUUAUACGACAACAACCUUCCCCACCCCACAUCUGCACCAAAGUCAAGUUGAACCCUUCUCGGGUUUAUUCACCUUCUUCCCUACCCAACAUCAUUCACCAUCUCUGUCAUCCUAAACCUCCUAAUUGUUGCCCUAACAGUCAUGGUUGUGCUGCUCGGUCGCCUUAGAAAAUUAUACGACAACAACCUUCCCCACCCCGCAUCUACACCAAAGUCAAGUUGAACCCUUCUCGGGUUUAUUCACCUUCUUCCCUACCCAACAUCACUCACCAUCUCUGUCAUCCUAAACCUCCCAAUUGUUGCCCUAACAGUCAUGGUUGUGCUGCUCGGUCGCCUUAGAAAAUUAUACGACAACAACCUUCCCCACCCCCACAUCUACACCAAAGUCAAGUUGAACCAUUCUCGGGUUUAUUCACCUUCUUCCCUACCCAACAUCACUCACCAUCUCUGUCAUCCUAAACCUCCCCAAUCGUUGCCCUAACAGUCAUGGUUGUGCUGCUCAGUCGCCUUAGAAAAUUAUACGACAACAAC